CCACUUCCCCCAGUGGCGCUGCCGGACGCCACGGUAGAGCUUGGUGGGCUUUGGGAGCGGCGGGGAAGCGGAGACCGCGGCGGCGACGUGCUUCAUCGGCAUAGGCCGCGGGGCUAGGAGCGCGUGCUGUUGCUGUUGCUGACGGGUGGAGAAGAGCUGCUGCUGGAAGUGCUGGAACUGGAUUUGCUGGAUCUGAGCCGGCGUGAGGGAGACGAGACCAAGGGGGCUCGAUGCCGAGUCGAAGAUCGGAGAAGACGCUGAUGGGUAGAAGGAUUGCGAUAUGUUUGAAGACGGCGAUGAGGAGAAGGAUUGUGACAUGAUGGAAGAUGGCGAUGAGGAAAAGGAUUGCAAUAUGUUUGAAGAGGGGGAGGUGGAAGAGGAGGGAGCACUAUGGACAAAGGGUCCAAGUGCUUUCAU
rnacentral:misc_RNA from 1 species